rnacentral:rRNA from 1 species
CCCUUAGAUGUUCUGGGCCGCACGCGCGCUACACUGAACAGUUCAACAAGUCUUAACCUUGGCCGAUAGGUCUGGGUAAUCUUUGAACGCUGUUCGUGAUUGGGAUAGACCUUUGCAAUUAUGGGUCUUCAACGAGGAAUUCCUAGUAAACGCAAGUCAUCAGCUUGCAUUGAUUACGUCCCUGCCCUUUGUGCACACCGCCCGUCGCACCUACCGAUUGAAUGGUCCGGUGAAAUCUCGGGACGGCGGCUUGGUCGCUUGCGUCCGACUGCUGAAACUUGAUUAAACCAUAUCAUUUAGAGGAAGGUGAAGUCGUAACA